rnacentral:lncRNA from 1 species
AUGCAUAGGUCUGGGAGUCAAAGUUGUUGUCUGACUCUACAGCUUGACUACAGCAGAAUUUCUAACCCUCCAAAUUCCUCCUGGGCUGACAAAUGUCAACAAAGACCCAGAGAAACACCAAAGAGAGUGCACUGUCAACAGACGGCGGAGGAGGAGGACGGGCGGGGAUUCGUACUCAUCGGCCGCAGCGAUUGGGCGCGAGACUGGCCUCCUCUUCGCCAUUGGCUGCUCGCGGUGUCUCUCCGCAUCUGUUGUCGCCGCUUCCCGCGCCAUUCAGCGUGCACGCGCCAGGCAAGGCAGGGGACCAGACCCUCAGCCCCAGGAGUUCAAGAAGAGUCCACCAUCCAGAAGGCAGCAAGCACCAGUACAAAAAAGGAGAUCCAUGAUUUCUUGCAGCCUGUCAUGUCCUCAGCGUCCUUGACGCCCAAAUGUGUGGAGAGUUGGUGGUGCACUAGGAGGAAGAUGUCAUGCUAA